CCUACGGGAGUCAGCAGUGAGGAAUAUUGGUCAAUGGCCGGAAGGCUGAACCAGCCAAGCCGCGUGAAGGACGAAGGUGCCAAGCAUUGUAAACUUCUUUUGUCAAGGGACAAAAUCAGGCUCGAGAGCCUGACCGAGGGUACUUGAAGAAAAAGCAUCGGCUACCUCCGUGCCAGCAGCCGCGGUAAUACGUAGGAUGCGAGCGUUAUCCGGAUUUAUUGGGUUUAACGGGUGCGUAGGCGGGCUGUUAAGUCAGCGGUAAAAGCCCGGGGCUCAACCCCGGCGAGCCGUUGAAACUGGCUGUCGUGAGAUGUCGAGAGGUAUGCGGAAUGCGCAGUGUAGCGGUGAAAUGCUUAGAUAUUGCGCAGAACUCCGAUUGCGAAGGCAGCAUACCGGCGGCGAUCUGACGCUGAGGCACGAAAGCGUGGGUAUCGAACAGGAUUAGAUACCCGUGUAGUC
rnacentral:rRNA from 1 species